UGGACUGAAGGGAGCUC
rnacentral:miRNA from 1 species